rnacentral:rRNA from 1 species
ACUCGUAACGGUGGAUGUCUCGGUUCCUACAUCGAUGAAGAACGUAGCAAAACUGCGAAACGUAAUGCGAAUUGCAGAUCUCGUGAAUCAUCAAAUCUUUGAACGCAAGUUGCGCUCGCGGGUAACCCUGUGAGCAUGUCUGCUUGAGUGUCCGCACAAAUCCGAUUUUGGCAUUCCGCAACUGUUGAGAAAUAAUUAUUUUUCCGGUUGCUAAGAGUGCCGCUGAUGGGUGCGUCCGUGUUGAUUUUUUUUCUGUUGAUUCAGAAAAAUUGAUGCGGUCACCUGGAAAAGAGAUGGGGCGAUUCUCAAAAAAUCAGGUUUUCUGGUUUUCGUCGCGCGUUUCACGACAGAGUAGCGGGUUUCUGUUUUCUGAGCAGGGAAAAAAGUAUUUUUCCGAUCACUGCGGAUGGAUGGUUUCGGCUGUCUGUUUCUGUUGGGGGUCGACGUAGUAUUUUUUUUUUCGGCGACGGAAAUGAAUCGUGAAAAAAUCGUGUUGUGCGCGGUGCAAUAAUCGAAAAACUGGUUUCGUCGUUCUUUGUACGAAAGAAUACCGUUGUGGGCUGGUCGAAGAUAGUUUUCUGAGCAACGGCUUUUUGGCCGCUGCGCUUGCAGAAGAUACUUUUCCGGUCGCUGCGAAUUGAUGGUUUCGACUUUCUGUUCUGUGGCGGGUGACGUAGUAUUUUUUUUGCGAGAUGGAAAAUGUUCUCCCUGUUCCAAAAUUCGGGAAAAUCGUGCGUGUGCGAUGCAAAAAUUGAGAGUUGGCGCCCAGUUUUUUGCAGAGUUUGUGAUAGAAACUCUGAAAACAAUCAUUUACUGGAUCUCAAGUCAGACAAGGCGACCCGCUGAAUUUAAGCAUAUAAUUAAGCGGAGAAAAGAAACUAACCAGGAUUCCCCUAGUAGCGGCGAGCGAAGCGGGAAAAGCCCAAUAUGAAAAGCCAGCUUGCUGGCGUUGUAGUUUGAGCGGCCUGCAGCUGUCAGUCUGGGAAAGUGGCAUGGAAAUGUCCACCGUGGAGGGUGAGAGUCCCGUCCAUCCCAGUCAGGGCAGUUGGUACGUGGCCGUUUCAGUCGAGUCGGGUAGCUUGGAAUGCUGCUCUAAUCGGUGGUAAAUCUCAUCGAAGGCUAAAUACUGGUAGGAAACCGAUAGCGCACAAGUACCGUGAGGGAAAGGUGAAAAGCACUUUGAAAAGAGGGUGACAAGAACCUGAAACCGUUACGAGGGAAGCGGAUUGCAUCGAGUUGAUGGGUGUUUGCGCUUUCAGCCGGAAAAUUUUUUUUUGGUGACUGGCGCAGACACUUACCCGUCGUGAGUUCUUGGCUGCCGAACCAACGGCGUGCCGAGGACUGUGGGAUCCCUUUAUUGGGUGAGGACGAUGGGGCAGCGGUGCGAUACGACCCGUCUUGAAACACGGACCAAGGAGUCUAGCGGUGCUGCGAGUCGAAGGGACGUUUAAUCCUUGUAGGCGCAGUGAAAGCGAAUUACCAUAAGAAAUUGUGCUAAUUUGAGGGGCAUGAGGUCGUUGACCAGAAAGUCCCACCUGGAGCAGUAGCGCUAGGACCCGAAAGAUGGUGAACUAUGCCUGAGUAGGGCGAAGCCAGAAGAAAUUCUGGUGGAGGCUCGUAGCGGUGCUGACGUGCAAAUCGCUCGUCGAACUUGGGUAUAGGGGCGAAAGACUAAUCGAACCAUCUGGUAGCUGGUUCCCCCCGAAGUUUCUCUCAGGAUAGCGGGCUGACAUGACGUUGUUUUGUGCGGUAAAGCGAAUGAUUAGCGCAUUUGGGGGCGUGCAGCCUUCUGGCGAUUCUCAAACUUUAAAUGCGCAAGCUGGCGCCGCUGCUUAAUUGAGCGGUUUUAGCUAGAAAAAACGUCAGCCCCGUGGGCCACUUUUGGUAAGCAGAACUGGCGAUGCGGGAUGAACCGAAAGCGUAGUUAAGGCGUCAAAUUGUCCGCUUAUAGAUCCCACAAAAGGCGUUGGUUCAUCGAGACAGCAGGACGGUGGCCAUGGAAGUCGGAAUCCGCUAAGGAGUGGUGUAACAACUCACCUGCCGAAUGAGGUAGCCCUGAAAAUGGAUGACGCUUUAAGCGGGCAGCCGAUACUACGCCGUCGAUUUUAGUGAAAAACAAAUCGAUGAGUAGGGGGGCGUGGUGGUCGUGUCGAAGCAUUGCGUGCGAACGCGUGUGGAAACGGCCACUAGUGCAGAUCUUGGUGGUAGUAGCAAAUAUUCAAGUGAGAACCUUGAAGGGCGAAGCGGGGAAGGGUUCCAUGCGAACAUUGAUUGGGCAUGGGUGAGGUCGUCCCUAAGCCGAGUGGCCAUUGCUUACUCAGGCGGCGAAAGGGAAGCGGGUUGAAAUUCCCGCACACGGAUGUGGAACAAGGCGGUGACGCAAAUUACUGGGGCGGUGACGUUGGCAGUGGCGCUGGGCAGAGUUUUCUUUUCUGUUUAACCGCCUGACGCUUGCUCUGUGGAAUCCGAUUGUCGGGAGAAACAGGCAAGGCACGGGUAG